GGCCUCGUAGCUCAGUUAGCUAGAGCGUUGGUCGUACUACAGCUUUCCCAUUGUUGGUGCGGGUACGAAUCCCACCGAGGCUG
rnacentral:tRNA from 1 species